rnacentral:rRNA from 1 species
AUGAACGCUAGCGACAGGCUUAACACAUGCAAGUCGAGGGGCAGCACAGGUAGCAAUACCGGGUGGCGACCGGCGCACGGGUGAGUAACGCGUAUGCAACUUGCCUAUCAGAGGGGGAUAACCCGGCGAAAGUCGGACUAAUACCGCAUGAAGCAGGGGCCCCGCAUGGGGAUAUUUGCUAAAGAUUCAUCGCUGAUAGAUAGGCAUGCGUUCCAUUAGGCAGUUGGCGGGGUAACGGCCCACCAAACCGACGAUGGAUAGGGGUUCUGAGAGGAAGGUCCCCCACAUUGGUACUGAGACACGGACCAAACUCCUACGGGAGGCAGCAGUGAGGAAUAUUGGUCAAUGGGCGUAAGCCUGAACCAGCCAAGUCGCGUGAGGGAUGAAGGUUCUAUGGAUCGUAAACCUCUUUUAUAAGGGAAUAAAGUGCGGGACGUGUCCCGUUUUGUAUGUACCUUAUGAAUAAGGAUCGGCUAACUCCGUGCCAGCAGCCGCGGUAAUACGGAGGAUCCGAGCGUUAUCCGGAUUUAUUGGGUUUAAAGGGUGCGUAGGCGGCCUUUUAAGUCAGCGGUGAAAGUCUGUGGCUCAACCAUAGAAUUGCCGUUGAAACUGGGGGGCUUGAGUAUGUUUGAGGCAGGCGGAAUGCGUGGUGUAGCGGUGAAAUGCAUAGAUAUCACGCAGAACCCCGAUUGCGAAGGCAGCCUGCCAAGCCAUUACUGACGCUGAUGCACGAAAGCGUGGGGAUCAAACAGGAUUAGAUACCCUUGUAGUCCACGCAGUAAACGAUGAUCACUAGCUGUUUGCGAUACACUGUAAGCGGCACAGCGAAAGCGUUAAGUGAUCCACCUGGGGAGUACGCCGGCAACGGUGAAACUCAAAGGAAUUGACGGGGGCCCGCACAAGCGGAGGAACAUGUGGUUUAAUUCGAUGAUACGCGAGGAACCUUACCCGGGUUUGAACGCAUUCGGACCGAGGUGGAAACACCUUUUCUAGCAAUAGCCGUUUGCGAGGUGCUGCAUGGUUGUCGUCAGCUCGUGCCGUGAGGUGUCGGCUUAAGUGCCAUAACGAGCGCAACCCUUGCCACUAGUUACUAACAGGUGAUGCUGAGGACUCUGGUGGGACUGCCAGCGUAAGCUGCGAGGAAGGCGGGGAUGACGUCAAAUCAGCACGGCCCUUACAUCCGGGGCGACACACGUGUUACAAUGGCGUGGACAAAGGGAGGCCACCUGGCGACAGGGAGCGAAUCCCCAAACCACGUCUCAGUUCGGAUCGGAGUCUGCAACCCGACUCCGUGAAGCUGGAUUCGCUAGUAAUCGCGCAUCAGCCAUGGCGCGGUGAAUACGUUCCCGGGCCUUGUACACACCGCCCGUCAAGCCAUGGGAGCCGGGGGUACCUGAAGUCCGUAACCGAAAGGAUCGGCCUAGGGUAAAACUGGUGACUGGGGCU